rnacentral:miRNA from 1 species
GAAGCUCUCCCCUCCCCGCAG